GUGGGGAAUAUUGCGCAAUGGGCGAAAGCCUGACGCAGCCACGCCGCGUGUGUGAUGAAGGCCUUCGGGUUGUAAAGCACUGUCGAGGGGGAAGAAGCAAUGACGGUACCCCUCAAGAAAGCGCCGGCUAACCCUGUGCCAGCAGCCGCGGUAAUACAGGGGGCGCGAGCGUUGCUCGGAAUCACUGGGCGUAAAGCGAACGCAGGCGGACCGUUAAGUCGCAUGUGAAAGCCCGGGGCUCAACCCCGGAAGUGCAUGCGAAACUGGCGGUCUUGAGUACGGGAGAGGUGGGUGGAAUUCCUGGUGUAGAGGUGAAAUUCGUAGAUAUCAGGAGGAACACCGGUGGCGAAAGCGGCCCACUGGCCCGAUACUGACGCUCAUGUUCGAAAGCGUGGGGAGCAAACAGGAUUAGAUACCCGAGUAGUCC
rnacentral:rRNA from 1 species